AGCAGCCGCCGCGGGAAUACGAAGGGUGCAAGCGUUAAUCGGAAUUACUGGGCGUAAAGCGUGCGUAGGCGGUGAGUUAAGUCUGCUGUGAAAUCCCCGGGCUCAACCUGGGAAUGGCAGUGGAUACUGGCUCGCUAGAGUGUGUCAGAGGAUGGUGGAAUUCCCGGUGUAGCGGUGAAAUGCGUAGAGAUCGGGAGGAACAUCAGUGGCGAAGGCGGCCAUCUGGGACAACACUGACGCUGAGGCACGAAGGCGUGGGGAGCAAACAGGAUUAGAUACCCGUGUAGUCCAUGUCUCUUAUAC
rnacentral:rRNA from 1 species